GAUGAACGCUGGCGGCGUGCCUAAUACAUGCAAGUCGAGCGAACAGACGAGGAGCUUGCUCCUCUGACGUUAGCGGCGGACGGGUGAGUAACACGUGGAUAACCUACCUAUAAGACUGGGAUAACUUCGGGAAACCGGAGCUAAUACCGGAUAAUAUAUUGAACCGCAUGGUUCAAUAGUGAAUGACGGCUUUGCUGUCACUUAUAGCUGGAUCCGCGCCGCAUUAGCUAGUUGGUAAGGUAACGGCUUACCAAGGCGACGAUGCGUAGCCGACCUGAGAGGGUGAUCGGCCACACUGGAACUGAGACACGGUCCAGACUCCUACGGGAGGCAGCAGUAGGGAAUCUUCCGCAAUGGGCGAAAGCCUGACGGAGCAACGCCGCGUGAGUGAUGAAGGUCUUCGGAUCGUAAAACUCUGUUAUUAGGGAAGAACAAAUGUGUAAGUAACUAUGCACGUCUUGACGGUACCUAAUCAGAAAGCCACGGCUAACUACGUG
rnacentral:rRNA from 1 species